CAGUCGCCACGGUAAAACGUAGGGUGCAAGCGUUAAUCGGAAUUACUGGGCGUAAAGCGUGCGCAGGCGGUUAUAUAAGACAGAUGUGAAAUCCCCGGGCUCAACCUGGGAACUGCAUUUGUGACUGUAUAGCUAGAGUACGGCAGAGGGGGAUGGAAUUUCGCGUGUAGCAGUGAAAUGCGUAGAUAUGCGGAGGAACACCGAUGGCGAAGGCAAUCCCCUGGGCCUGUACUGACGCUCAUGCACGAAAGCGUGGGGAGCAAACAGGAUUAGAUACCCCGGUAGUCCCUGUCUCUUAUAC
rnacentral:rRNA from 1 species